rnacentral:rRNA from 1 species
UACAGAGGUCUCAAGCGUUGUUCGGAUUCAUUGGGCGUAAAGGGCGCGUAGGCGGCGGGGUAAGUCGGGUGUGAAAUCUCAGGGCUCAACCCUGAAACUGCACUCGAUACUGCUCUGCUUGAGGACUGGAGAGGAGACUGGAAUUCACGGUGUAGCAGUGAAAUGCGUAGAUAUCGUGAGGAAGACCAGUGGCGAAGGCGGGGUCUCUGGACAGUUCCUGACGCUGAGGCGCGAAGGCCAGGGGAGCAAAGCGGGG